rnacentral:rRNA from 1 species
AUUAUUUGAUUCUCUUCGGAGUUGACGAUAAUGGAAUGAGCGGCGGACGGGUGAGUAACACGUAGGCAACCUGCCUGUAAGACUGGGAUAACUCGUGGAAACGCGAGCUAAUACCGGAUAACACUUUUCAUCUCCUGAUGAGAAGUUGAAAGGCGGCUUUUGCUGUCACUUACAGAUGGGCCUGCGGCGCAUUAGCUAGUUGGUAAGGUAACGGCUUACCAAGGCGACGAUGCGUAGCCGACCUGAGAGGGUGAUCGGCCACACUGGGACUGAGACACGGCCCAGACUCCUACGGGAGGCAGCAGUAGGGAAUCUUCCGCAAUGGACGAAAGUCUGACGGAGCAACGCCGCGUGAGUGAUGAAGGUUUUCGGAUCGUAAAACUCUGUUGUUAGGGAAGAACAAGUACUAUAGUAACUGAUAGUACCUUGACGGUACCUAACCAGAAAGCCACGGCUAACUACGUGCCAGCAGCCGCGGUAAUACGUAGGUGGCAAGCGUUGUCCGGAAUUAUUGGGCGUAAAGCGCUCGCAGGCGGUUCUUUAAGUCUGAUGUGAAAUCUUACGGCUCAACCGUAAACGUGCAUUGGAAACUGGGGAACUUGAGUGCAGAAGAGGAGAGUGGAAUUCCACGUGUAGCGGUGAAAUGCGUAGAGAUGUGGAGGAACACCAGUGGCGAAGGCGACUCUCUGGUCUGUAACUGACGCUGAGGAGCGAAAGCGUGGGGAGCGAACAGGAUUAGAUACCCUGGUAGUCCACGCCGUAAACGAUGAGUGCUAGGUGUUAGGGGUUUCCGCCCCCUUAGUGCUGAAGUUAACGCAUUAAGCACUCCGCCUGGGGAGUACGGCCGCAAGGCUGAAACUCAAAAGAUGACGGGGCCCGCACAGGCGUGAGCAUGUGUUUAUUCGAGCACGCGAGACUACAGUCUGACAUCUCUGACACUCUAGAGAUAGAGUUUCUCGGACGAUGACAGUGGUGCAUGCUGUCGUCAGUCGGUCUGAAUUCGUAAGUCGAC